UACGUAGGGUGCGAGCGUUGCCCGGAUUUAUUGGGCGUAAAGAGCUCGUAGGCGGUCUGUUGCGUCGGCUGUGAAAACCCGGGGCUCAACUCCGGGCCUGCAGCCGAUACGGGCAGACUAGAGUUCGGCAGGGGAGACUGGAAUUCCUGGUGUAGCGGUGAAAUGCGCAGAUAUCAGGAGGAACACCGGUGGCGAAGGCGGGUCUCUGGGCCGAUACUGACGCUGAGGAGCGAAAGCGUGGGGAGCGAACAGG
rnacentral:rRNA from 1 species